rnacentral:lncRNA from 10 species
GGAAGUUGCAAUUACCAUGUUUUUCUUAUCAAUCCAAAGAUCCGCAAUGCAAGAAUGAAAGGCGACCCAGAGCGGGGUGGAGGUCUCAUAACGAAAUGAGCUUAAUAUGAUGCCGUUUCAACACGGCUCACUGGCUGCAGGCUGGAAAGGCAGAGACGACGCAUCAGCACGUUCCGGGCCUCUCACACCGCCGCCCUGCCUGGGAGCUGUGUGGUCCUCAGUGCCCCCAGUUCAGACACCCACUCAUCUGCGAGGGCACAUCUGCCCAGCGGCCGGGAGAGCAGGAAUUCUCAUUGCUGCCCUCACAGACGAGAGCAUCCAAGGGGUCAAGGAUUUGCCUCAGGCUCUUCAGUAGUGAGGCCCUGAACUCCCUAUAUCCAGCUCUUCUGAAACCUCCCGACCCCAUCCAGAGCUGCCCUGGGAACAUUCUGGACUCUCCAUCAACCCUGGGAUGCAGAAGGGCCUGGGGCAACCCCAUAGGCACGUCACACUCCUCCAUCCCUGGACUAGCACCCUGGCUGGCUCCCCAGAAGAAAAAUGAAGGUCCUCCUGACAGGAAAGCAUCCUCCUCUCCAAGCCCCCACCAGCAACUGGGAGGUGAGGCUGGGAACGCAAGAUGGGAUCUCUCAGGUGCUGGAAAGAAAUUAAAGAGGAAACUUAUCAAAAAGAGGAUGGAAGAGAGAAAGCAAAGGUAAGUUCCAUUCUGGAAAGGAAAUGGGGAGGAGCCACGUGCAAUUUUAUAGCCAUGUUCUGAAACUCAUGACUCUUGACCAGGUCCGACUCUGACCGUGGGGGAAAGCUCAGGUGGGGUGAGGAGCUUUAUGGUGUUUGCUUGGUUUAUUGGCUUUGUGGAAGAGGAUAUGAGGGCCCAGGCAGUUCUCUGGAGAUAGGACCCCUCAAGGAAAGGCCAAGAUUUAUGGUUUCCGGAAGCCCUCAAGGUUACUGGCCUAGGCCUAGGCUUUCCUUGGUUCUGGGGAUUUAAGGGAGGGAGGGCCUGGAGGUAAAGGAAAUUCCAAAUCAUGGUGAGAAUCAUUCCCCAAAAGACUUUAUCUUCCAUGGUCUCCCAUGAUUCCCAGUAACUACAUGAUGUUGACAGUCCGCCAUCAUUUUAACGAAAUGGGGGCCUGAGGCUGGGAGAGCAGGCAGGCCGGCCCCUGGUCAGCUAGAAUCAGUGUCAGGGGAGCAACUCAAACCCAUCUUUCCUGGUUCCCACUCCAGGGCGCUUUCUCACUGGGCUAUUUAUACUGGAGUGGCCUUUGACACCCAAUCAGAAAAUACCUGAG